rnacentral:tRNA from 1 species
GGAGAGGUGCCAGAGAGGCCGAUUGGGCUUGACUCGAAAUCAAGUGUACCUUCACCGGUACCGUGGGUUCGAAUCCCACCCUCUCCGCCA